AAUAGAUACCCUGGUAGUCCACGCUCGUAAACCGAUGAUUACUGGUUGUUAGCGAUAUAGUAGCUAGUGACUGAGCGAAAGCAUUAAGUAAUCCACCUGGGGAGUACGUCGGCAACGAUGAAACUCAAAGGAAUUGACGGGGGCCCGCACAAGCGGAGGAACAUGUGGUUUAAUUCGAUGAUACGCGAGGAACCUUACCUGGGUUUAAAUGGGGAGUGACAGGUGUCGAAAGAUGCUUUUCCUUCGGGACACUCUUCAAGGUGCUGCAUGGUUGUCGUCAGCUCGUGCCGUGAGGUGUCGGGUUAAGUCCCAUAACGAGCGCAACCCUUGCCGAUAGUUGCCAUCACGUAAAGGUGGGCACUCUAUCGGGACUGCCGGUGUAAACCGUGAGGAAGGUGGGGAUGACGUCAAAUCAGCACGGCCCCUUACAUCCAGGGCUACACACGUGUUACAAUGGCCAGUACAGAGGGCCGCUACCCCGGCGAGGGGGUGCCAAUCUCGAAGCUGGUCUCAGUUCGGAUUGAAGUCUGGAACCCGACUUCAUGAAC
rnacentral:rRNA from 1 species